rnacentral:misc_RNA from 1 species
GUCACAUUGUGCCAUGUGUAAUGGGACAUCACAAUCCCGCAGAAAAAUACAGUGAGAAUCCCACUCAAAUAGAACAGUUCAGCCAACAUAUAAGAAAGGUAUGCCAUGAGCAUCAUAAGAGCAAACUCACGAUCUGUUGAGUGCCUGCCAAAAUAUAGCUUUUUGAUGAUGUAAGCACUAAGUAAACCAGUUAUAACUCCCAGCAUAGUGCUUGUGAGAAA